UGCGUAGGCGGAUCAAUAAGUCAGUGGUGAAAUCUCUCGGCUCAACCGGGAAACUGCCAUUGAUACUGUUGAUCUUGAGUUCGGUUGAGGUAGGCGGAAUGUGUAAUGUAGCGGUGAAAUGCUUAGAUAUUACACAGAACACCAAUUGCGUAGGCAGCUUACUAGACCGACACUGACGCUGAGGCACGCAAGCGUGGGGAGCGAACAGGAUUAGAUACCCUGGUAGUCC
rnacentral:rRNA from 1 species